rnacentral:tRNA from 1 species
GGAAUGUGGCCCAAUGGUACAACUCUUGCCUAGCAUGCAAGAGGCUCUGGGUUCAAUUUCCAGCUCCA